ACCGCCCGCCGCGGCGGAGAAGGCAGCCUCCGGCUCCUGUACGGAACUGGCCGGGCUCGACAUGGCGGCUCCCAGGCGGACCCUGCGGCCGGGGGCGGCCAUCUUGCCUCCUGGACAAAGCGGCGGAGGAUGCGGAGUGGGCAAAACCGCCGGGUGGUACGAGCGCAGGCUCGAGAGCCUCGUGGUUUGCCCACCCAGACAGGAAGCGGGAGAGCUGGCCAGUAUGGAUGUGACAGCCGUACCCGGUGAAGCGAUCCUGGGCAUUUCGGGACCUGGUAACGGAGCCACAGAUCUAUUUUGACAAAACCUGUAAUACCCCAUAGAAAACAAACUCCCUGUUAUGGGAUCAGUGACCCCUUUGAACCAGUUCAGUCCUGUCUGCAUGAGUACUCCUGGGACUGAGAAAAAUUUACUAGGCAUCUGCCCUUUUAGAAGAGAGCAGAAAAUAAUGAAGUCCCAGGGGUUAGUAUCAUUCAAGGAUGUGGCUGUGGAUUUCACCCAGGAGGAGUGGCAGCAACUGGACCUGGCUCAGAGGACCCUGUACAAGGAUGUGAUGCUGGAGAACUUCAACCACCUGGUCUCAAUGGGGUAUCCAGUUUCCAAACCAGAUGUCAUAUCUAAGUUGGAAAAAGGAGAAGAUCCAUGGGUCAUAAAGAGAGACAUAUCAAAUUGGGUCUAUCCAGAUGAAAAUCAGGCAGAUGGGAGACAAGGGAAGAAAAGUAACCUUGACAACCCCCAAUCAUGUAUUUUGGGGUCUGUUUCCUUCCAUAAUAAGAUACUGAAAGGAGUAACAAAGGAUGGUUCAUUGUACUCCAUUUUAAAAGUCUGUCAAGAUGAUGGCCAGCUGCAGAGAUGUCAGGAAAACCAAGACAAACUUUUCAGGCAGGUAACAGUCAUCAACAACAGAACAGUGACUAUGGAGUCAGGCCAUAAGUAUAAUGCAUUGGGAAAAAUAUUUCAAGAGUGCAUAGAGCCAGAUACUUCAAGACAAAGACCCCAGAAUUGUGAUACAUUUAAAAAGAACUUGAAAUGUAAUACUGAACUACUUAGUCACAAUAAAAGCAGUUCAAGAAAAAACCCUGAUGAGAGUUUGGGGUAUGGAAAAUCUUCUAGCCAUGGUGCAUCCAAUUAUGAUCUUGAGAAAAAUCAUGAUGGAGUAAUACCCUGUGAUGAUGAUCAGUGUGGAAACAUUUUUAGCAAUAAAAAAUCCCUUAUUCAAUAUCAGAAUGUUGAAACUAAAGAGAAAACCUGUGUGUGUAUUACAUGUGGAAAAGCCUUUGCUAAGAAGUCACAGCUUAUUGUGCAUCAAAGAAUUCAUACUGGAAAGAAACCAUAUGAUUGCGGUGCAUGUGGGAAAGCCUUCAGUGAGAAGUUUCAUCUUAUCGUACAUCAGAGAACUCAUACUGGAGAGAAACCUUAUGAAUGUUCUGAAUGUGGAAAAGCCUUCUCUCAAAAAUCAUCCCUUAUUAUACAUCAGAGAGUUCACACUGGGGAAAAGCCAUAUGAAUGUAGUGACUGUGGGAAAGCCUUCUCCCAGAAAUCACCCCUCAUUAUACAUCAGAGAAUUCACACUGGGGAGAAACCUUAUGAAUGUAGAGAGUGUGGGAAGGCCUUCUCCCAGAAGUCACAGCUGAUCAUACAUCACAGAGCUCAUACUGGAGAGAAGCCAUAUGAGUGCACUGAAUGUGGGAAAGCCUUCUGUGAGAAGUCCCACCUCAUUAUACAUAAAAGAAUUCACACUGGAGAGAAACCUUACAAAUGUACUCAAUGUGAAGAAGCUUUCAGUAGGAAGACAGAACUCAUUACACAUCAGUUAAUUCAUACUGGAGAGAAACCUUAUGAAUGUACUGAAUGUGGGAAGACCUUCUCCCGGAAGUCACAGCUCAUCAUACAUCAGAGAACGCAUACUGGAGAGAAACCCUACAAAUGCAGUGAAUGUGGAAAAGCCUUCUGUCAGAAAUCACAUCUCAUUGGACAUCAGAGAAUUCACACAGGAGAAAAACCUUAUAUAUGUACUGAAUGUGGAAAAGCCUUCUCCCAGAAGUCCCACCUCCCAGGACAUCAGCGAAUUCAUACAGGAGAAAAACCUUACAUAUGUGCUGAAUGUGGAAAGGCCUUUUCCCAGAAGUCAGACCUUGUUUUACAUCAGAGAAUUCAUACUGGGGAAAGACCCUAUCAAUGUGCUAUAUGUGGAAAAGCUUUCAUUCAGAAGUCACAACUCACUGUACACCAGAGAAUUCAUAACAGUGGUAAAAUCAUAAUGAACUGAACACAGAAAAGCCUUCAAAAUUAGCUCAAGCCUCAAUAAAUAUUAGAAACCAUAUUAAUUAGUUUGUGGAAGACAUCUUCAUAGGUAAAACUUUACAGGAAAUUCAUUUCUGUUCAGUGAUACCUAACUGUAAGUAAAGAUGAUGGAAAAUAAAUGGACAUUUCAACAUGACCUAUAAAGCUUUUAAAGUUAUGAACUGAAUGGCCAGUAGGACAAAUUAUGUAUAUAAAAUAUUGUCAAAUUACAUAUUUAUCAUGCCACAUAACAAUAACCAAUUGUGAAAUUGAUAGUAUUAGCUUGGCAUAAUUUUGUCCAUAGAGUAAUUCACUAUAAAUGAUAUGAAGAAAGCUUGAGUUAAAAAAAGUUCCUAGAAACUACAUGAGAAGGGGCUUAACAUGACUCCUAAAGAUAUAUGUAAAAUUGUGAUACAAAGAUGGAAAGAUAGGUUGAUCAUAUUCAAUAAAGUUGACAUUUAUGUGUUUCCCCAUCUCAAGUAUGUACAUUGAUUGUAAAGUAAUGAUCCUCUGGAAGGAUCCUGGACUUUAGAUUUGAUGUUUCUUGACCAGGUCUCCCUUUAUUGUCCCUCACUGAGAAUUUGGUAUGGUGGAAAGAGUUUGGUACUGAAUCAGAUGGUCUUGGGUUUUAAUUCUGGCUCAACUACUCACAGAUUGUGUGACUUAGGGCAAUAUUGCUUCCACUCUCUGAAUAUUUUUCUUAUUGGUAAAAAAAAAGUACAAUGAAUAUGGGUUAAUGUUAGUUCUUUUUCUUUCUUCUGUGACUUCUCAGUCUUCAUUAUAUAUUAACAAGUUCUCACUGGCAAGAAAUCUUACAAAUGUGCUUUAGGUGAGGAAGUCUUCAGCAAGAAGACAACUCAUUAGUUAAUACAUGAGUUAAUAUUAGUUAAUGUUCUUUUUAUCUUUUCUAUCCUCCUGAAAUAGGGGGUUAAGACUGAUGUGUAAAAGCUACAUCUGAACUUGCUUUGCACUCCAUAUACACUUGAUAUCCCAUUCCUAUGACUGGUUGAUUUCACUGUCUGACCCAGGUUGCCUUGAUUCUUGGCGGUGCCAAAAAUUACCAGCAGACACUGGUUCUGGAUUUUGUUGAGAUGAUCUAGAGGAAGCCUGAUCUAAUACUUCAAAAUGCUUUGGGAUUCAUUAUAUAAGGAAAUCCUUGAAGAAUUCCCAGAUAUGGCUGCCUGAAGAGGGUCACACCAUCCACAGUUAUACCUGCCAGAGGCUGUCUGGACCUGCAGGAAGGAUUAUGGGCCUCACACUUUCCCAGGCCACCCUGUACUGACCAGGCAGAUGAGGACUGGCUUUUCUGAAGUACAUGAUGUCCUGAAGUUCAGCUGGGCUGUCCUGUAUGUGCUCGGAGGACUGCUGAGAAGCCUGCACAGCUCAAAGAGCACAUCACGCCCAACCACAGGCGCCCAUCUCUUCCAUCCCCCACUUCCUCAUUUUACAGAUGGAGAAGUUGAGGUCCAAACGGGAGAAAUGCCUCAUCAAGGUAACUUAGGGUGCCUGCCUCACUCCAAACUCCCACCUGCACCCCCACUCCCACCCCCAUUCAGGCAUUCACAAUCCUUGCAGGCUGUUCACCACUACAGUGGCACCACAGAUCACAGCACACGGACAAGAAUCUGUGAUGCCUGAAUGACUGAGCAGCUUUCACCACUGCAGCCUAGAGCUUGGGGGACUCUAUAUACAGACACAUGGGAGCCUCAUGAUCCCCCAGGUGUGCUAGACCGGAAGAAACAAGUGGAGUUGCAGGAACCUGGGCCUGGCCACUCCAUCAAAAUACCCACCUCUGAGAGGAGUUCAGGUUUUUAGGCUUUACAUCCCUCAUUCUUUCACUCAGCAAACGAUAUUGAGUGUCGUCCACUUGUCAGGCCCUGUGCCAAGUGCUGAGGAUGCCUCAGACAUGAGCACAGGCAGUCCCUACCUACCCUCAAGGAAUUCGUGGAGGGGGGCCGGGGUGCAAAGAGCCAGCAAGUGAAACAACCAAGUCCUGUGCAAAGAGGCAGAAGGACGAGGGAGCUUGGAAGGAAGGCUUCUCUCCAAGGUAACUUUUGCACACUUCCUUUCUCAUUUGUUUUCUGUCAUUUUCUCCAUUUCACAGGUGGAGAAACGAGACUGGGAGAGAGGACAGUGAAACUACGAGCGCCAGACGAGGGGUGGAACCCACACCCCAGAACUUCAAACUCCUGGCGCCUUCUUUGCGGGGCUUUAAGAAAAGCAGGACAGAUAACCGAAGAGAAGCUGGUCUCCUGAGGCCUGGGACUCACCCGCCGAAGCUCCUGCCUCCUGGGAGGCCCAAGAUCGUGUGCAGAAGGCGUGGGGGAUUGCCCAUGGUGCUCGUGAUGUAUAAAACCUGGGUAUCUGCCAAUCCUUCUUCAGCAAUGACACCAGGAAAUUGACAGCUAAGUGGAUAUUGUAUACAAACUCAUCAUCU